CCUGGGCGUGGCAGUGCACGCCUGUCAUCCCAGCUACUUGGGAGGCUGAGGCGAGUGGAUCACCUGAGGUCAGGAGCUCGAGAGCAGCCUGGCCAACAUGGUGAAAGCCCAUUUCUACUCAAAAUACAAAAAUUACCUGGGCNNNNNNNNNNGUAAUUUUUGUAUUUUGAGUAGAAAUGGGCUUUCACCAUGUUGGCCAGGCUGCUCUCGAGCUCCUGACCUCAGGUGAUCCACUCGCCUCAG
rnacentral:SRP_RNA from 1 species